CUCUGACAACUGAGACAUGGAGGAUGAGACUUCAGAAUCCCCAGACAUAAGAGGAGCCAAUGAAUUCCAAGUAGAUGAAUUAAGUGAGCCUCUUUUAGGAUCAAGAAUCUCCAUUGCUGCUGAACAUGAUGUAUGAAAUCCUGCCCGCCUCACGCACGGAGUAAGGAAAAAAGUGGAGCUAGGUGGAGAAACAGCAAUAAAGUGCAUGGAAACUUCUGCAGACUCAACUGGCAAACUGAUCCUUCAUGAAGACUCAAG
rnacentral:lncRNA from 1 species